GUCCACGCCGUAAACGAUGAGCACUAGGUGUCGGGGUCGUAAGAUUUCGGUGCCGUAGUUAACGCAUUAAGUGCUCCGCCUGGGGAGUACGCACGCAAGUGUGAAACUCAAAGGAAUUGACGGGGACCCGCACAAGCAGUGGAGUAUGUGGUUUAAUUCGAAGCAACGCGAAGAACCUUACCAGGUCUUGACAUCCGAUGCAUAACACAGAGAUGUGUGAAAUCCUUCGGGACAUCGAGACAGGUGGUGCAUGGUUGUCGU
rnacentral:rRNA from 1 species